rnacentral:rRNA from 1 species
CUACGGGGCGCUGCAGUGGGGAAUAUUGCACAAUGGGCGCAAGCCUGAUGCAGCCAUGCCGCGUGUAUGAAGAAGGCCUUCGGGUUGUAAAGUACUUUCAGCGGGGAGGAAGGGAGUAAAGUUAAUACCUUUGCUCAUUGACGUUACCCGCAGAAGAAGCACCGGCUAACUCCGUGCCAGCAGCCGCGGUAAUACGGAGGGUGCAAGCGUUAAUCGGAAUUACUGGGCGUAAAGCGCACGCAGGCGGUUUGUUAAGUCAGAUGUGAAAUCCCCGGGCUCAACCUGGGAACUGCAUCUGAUACUGGCAAGCUUGAGUGUCGUAGAGGGGGGGAGAAUUCCAGGUGUGGCGGUGAAAUGCGUAGAGAUCUGGAGGAAUACCGGUGGCGAAGGCGGCCCCCUGGACAAAGACUGACGCUCAGGUGCGAAAGCGUGGGGAGCAAACAGGAUUAGAUACCCUCGUAGUC